rnacentral:rRNA from 1 species
UACGUAGGGGGCAAGCGUUGUCCGGAAUCAUUGGGCGUAAAGAGCGUGUAGGCGGCCUGAUAAGUCGGCUGUGAAAGUCAAGGGCUCAACCCUUGAAUGCCGGCCGAUACUGUCAGGCUAGAGUCCGGAAGAGGCGAGUGGAAUUCCUGGUGUAGCGGUGGAAUGCGCAGAUAUCAGGAGGAACACCGAUAGCGAAGGCAGCUCGCUGGGACGGUACUGACGCUGAGGCGCGAAAGCAUGGGGAGCGAACAGG